UACGAAGGGGGCUAGCGUUGUCCGGAGUUACUGGGCGUAAAGCGCACGCAGGCGGUCAGAUCAGUCUGGAGUGACAGUCGUCGGCUUAACCGACGAAGUGUUCUGGAAACUGUCUGACUUGAGGGCUUCAGAGGGACACGGAAUUCCGGGUGGAGUGGUGAAAUGCGUAGAUAUCCGGAGGAACACCAAUGGCGAAGGCAGUGUCCUGGGAAGUACCUGAC
rnacentral:rRNA from 1 species